rnacentral:rRNA from 1 species
AGGCAGCAGUAGGGAAUCUUCGGCAAUGGGGGCAACCCUGACCGAGCAACGCCGCGUGAGUGAAGAAGGUUUUCGGAUCGUAAAGCUCUGUUGUAAGUCAAGAACGAGUGUGAGAGUGGAAAGUUCACACUGUGACGGUAGCUUACCAGAAAGGGACGGCUAACUACGUGCCAGCAGCCGCGGUAAUACGUAGGUCCCGAGCGUUGUCCGGAUUUAUUGGGCGUAAAGCGAGCGCAGGCGGUUUGAUAAGUCUGAAGUUAAAGGCUGUGACUCAACCAUAGUUCGCUUUGGAAACUGUCAAACUUGAGUGCAGAAGGGGAGAGUGGAAUUCCAUGUGUAGCGGUGAAAUGCGUAGAUAUAUGGAGGAACACCGGUGGCGAAAGCGGCUCUCUGGUCUGUAACUGACGCUGAGGCUCGAAAGCGUGGGGAGCAAACAGGAUUAGAUACCCUGGUAGUCCACGCCGUAAACGAUGAGUGCUAGGUGUUAGACCCUUUCCGGGGUUUAGUGCCGCAGCUAACGCAUUAAGCACUCCGCCUGGGGAGUACGACCGCAAGGUUGAAACUCAAAGGAAUUGACGGGGG